CUGACCUUCCCAUUGUGUCUGACACUGCUUCAUGAGAUGGCAGCGACAACGUUGAGUUGCAAGGCCCCUGUGACACAUGGGGCCUUGCUCCGCCUAAGUACUGUGUGUUUUCAGCAGUAACAUCACGUAGACGUGAAUGUAGCAGAGCCCCCAGUGAAGCCUCGUUUUCCCAGCCUCCCACCGGGAAGGAGCACCCAGGACUCUCCCUUUGAAUUGGGCACUCUAACAUGAUGGCAACCUCCCAAAAUGGAAAAAAAAAAAGCUUUAGGUGUCUUCUCACUCUCCAAAUACCAACAGAAUAUCCAGCAAACAAAAAUCAAAGACUUGCAGUCAUCAGCAGAAAGAGCCAUGAAACCCCAUUGACCUCACUGAACCCCACGUUGUUACGCUUGGAAUGCUCCUAUUAAUCAGAUCCCAAAAUCUCACUUGAUCUGAAGAAGUUAAGCCCAAGGACACCCUCUCUGAAAGAAAGACAUCAAAAAUCUGAACUUGACAUCUUCUCCUUGAGAAGCGCGACACCUUCACAAAGUCCUUCACGUGAGCGCCGACAGAAGCGAAGGCAAAUGUCGCACAAACAGGAGAAACAUCUGAACAAUCCAGACACGGGCAAAGUUUUAAAAACUCUGACCAAGAAAGAACAAUUCCUACACGAGUUCUCCCCACUACUGUAUGAAGGGACACUUUAAGGUAGGUAAGUAGACAAAGGGAAGGUAAUUACUGAUUUGGUUUUGUUCGUAGGGAGUCAGACUUCAUUGGGAAAACUAAGAAUUUCACCCAGCAGUUUCCCAUAUUUAGGAAUCUCCACCGGAAAUGUUAUUUAGCCCAGUAUUUACGAGCAUAGUUUGUGAACAGAGGUCCUGGAGUGAUGAAGUAGUCAAACCUCAGGACCCUGCACACAGAGGGUCUACCUACUAACAGUGCCAGUGAGCAAGAAUCAAGAGUAUAUAACUCUGAGCAGCAAGAAACUGUGAAAAUGAUUCUCCUUACCCCCAAACCAGAAAAGGAAUAAAACCUUCCCCAGCCCCAAGGCACACUUCGGAGUUGCAGGAAAACAACACACAGAGAAGCUGUUCUCGGGGGAGAAAGUGGUAGCAAUGGUAGAAGAAAGUGUAUAUCAGAGGAAACAAAUCUCUUAUAGUUUUCCUAAACUAAAGGAAAAUGUCGGUGCCCCAAAUUGGAUACAGGUCGCUAUUCAUAUUAUGUAGAAAUGU